UCUGCCACCUGAAUUUCAAUUUCUUAAUUUACAGCCCAGAUAAAACAGAAUGGAGCAGGAUCUGGGCUGCUCUCUACAUUGGGUUGGCCUUAUCAAGCGUGAAGUUUGGCGCACUGCAAACCUAUUCAAGUGAUUAUCUGUUGAGGACCUCUCGAGCCAUCUCCAUCUCUGCAGCCCGCUGAUAAGACAGCUGUUUCUCUAGCCGCUGUGUCUCCCCGGGCCUCAGUCUUCUUCUGAUACAAACUCCGCUUUUGUCACCGUGCUCCGUCUCAUUUGGUCGCCUAAAUCUCCCUUUGAAUGCUCAGGAAUGACGUGAGUUUAUCCUGCUUAAAAGUUGCUUGUGAGUAAAAGGGGUGGAAAAGAUAUCUGAAGACAUUUGUGGGAACGUUUACAUAAAUGAUCUUCUAUCCGAAGUUGCAAAAUUUUUUUCCGGGACACUUGGGCACCUGCAACAUAUCUUAGACUAUCUGCAGACAAAUCAAAGGAAGAAUGAACCCUAUACAAAUUUUACCCAGGAGAAAAGAAAGAAGGAAAGAAAGAAAAGAAAAGAAGAGAAAGGAAGGUGGUGAUACAAGAAGGAAGAGCAAUCUAGAUUUUUUUUUUUUUUACCGCAACACAAGAUUACAUUUGAUUAAAAGUUUUAAACAGUC